AAACAUUCAUGCAUAAAAACAAAACUUCAAACUCACAAACAUAAAAGCAAAUUUCAUAUAUCUCUUAAGACAUACUAUCAAAGGAGUUGGACCUACCAACCUCUUUUAAAUACAAUUAACCCAACAAACCAACUUAAUACUAAACUUUAUAUUAUAAAAACCCACGUGGUAACAUUGACAUUAAUCCUAAACCCUAAGUUCUAAACUAACCCGAGAGACAAAAGUGGCGGGUGUCAUUUCAAAUGCCUACCGCUGCCAGUAUUUUUCAUCUGCCAUUGCCUUAAAAACACACAUAGCAGAACUUCGAACUCAAAAACGAACCCAAAACCAAACCAAACCGAACUGAAACCCCACUUUCAAACUCACAAACUAAAAAUACUAAAAAGUAAAAAAAAAAAAAAGGAGAAAGAGGACACAUUAAAAACAGUGCCCACUCCAACACACAACACAGCUCCCUAGAAAAUGAAGAAGAAAAAGACUGUUCCGUUCUGUUCUGUUUUGCUGUUGCCUUUCUGUUCAUCGGAACUGCAACCCACUAAAAGUUUGACCAAAGCUCCACUGAGCUGGCGCUACGUCGUUGGAUAUCACUGUUCUGCCAUCGCCGGUGGUCACUUUGAACGAUAAGCUUUGUCCAUUCAGAUAUGAAUUGCUCUGCCAAUUCUGUCCCCAAUUCCUCGACAUUGCUUCCCACCCUGUUUUCGACCCUUUAAUCCACACUCCAUGAACAUCCCCACCUCCACCAACGUUGGUUACAAGGACUAAAUUGAAGUACGAAUGACCAUUGAUUGUGAAUCUAAUGCCUCCUUUCUUCUCACAAGAUACCCUGCAUUGGUUAUUUGCUCAGUCUCUGUUUCAGUUAUAGUGUUUUAACUUAACAAAAUCAGUCAGUACCUUCUGUAUGCCACUGGGACAAUGCCGGCUUUGUAACCAGCGAUUUGUUCGAAGACGGGUUGGGAGAGAUCGAAAUGGUGUUGGGGAGGGUUACACCAGCCGCCGGCGUUGUUUGGGAGCGCAUUGUUUGGUGGACAAAAGUUUGUGGCAGUAACCACAAUGGACUUUUGAAGACACCAUUUUGGGUCAUUUACACAUUUGAU
rnacentral:lncRNA from 1 species